UACUGCUCUCUCCCACCCUCCUUACCCCUCUUUUUUCUUUUUCCCUCCUCCAUUUUCCUUGUCUUGCUAUUCUGGAAAUUGAAAUGACAGCUUCACUGUCAGUGAAGGAAAUGGGAAUUCUGCCAUUGGAGAGGAUGCUGUAUUUCCAUCUGUGAAGGAACUAAUGACACCUACUUAAAGGCAGCAUUGUGAAAAUUAAUUAAUUGACAUUAUUGAAAUAUUCUGAGGUGGAAAUCCUGAUCUUGCACCAUCCAGAAGAAAGAAAUCAUCCUCGCAGAAAGCGAGGAAAACCAAAUCUUUGCUCAGCUUAUAAAGGUGUGAAGCUGUUUUGUGGGAAUUACCAGAGCCUGCCCUCUCCCAGCCACUGCUUGACUUUGAGAAGUGGACUAGAUCUAAUUUUGAUCUGCAGCAAGCAUAAAUCACAGUUCACACUGCUGACAUGACUGUAAUUACACAUAUCUGAAGUCUGCGUAUUUGAGAGAAGAUCAGACCUGUUUAGUCAGCAUCCUCAGAGGGGGAGUCUCUGAAAGCGGAGCAAAUUCUCACUGGUCAUGGUAGUUUACAGACAAGCUGCAUCAGAGGAAAUGUGAAGAAAUGGUAAGGAUUUGACCUGAUGCACAGAAGCAUUUUAAAAGUCCUGGUGAAUCCUCAGCUGCCUGAGUCAACGUGAGCUUUGUUACUGACCUUAGUGAACUCAGGACUUCACUGUCGUGAAUGUUUGCUGCCUACCAGGCAAGUAAAUGCUUCUUUACCUCUGUGAUCUCAUACAUAAGUCUUCACAGAGCAGAUAUGUUCUCUGUUGCUGAUAACUUGGGCGAUGUGUGUUGACACCAGUUAGAAACAUGCUUUUCCUCUUGCGAAGGUUCUGCAUGCAAUAUCAAGAGCUGGAAGAGAGUGCAUUUGUGCCUUUUGAAGAAGCUCCUCCAGAUUCUUUUUGUCUCUUCAGUGUGAUACACCACUGUUUACAUUAUUUUUUAUCAAUUUCCCCAUACUUGCUCCUUUCUUCCAGGCAGUUAGAGCCUGGCUUUGGUCUUGUAAGAUGUAAGACUUUGUUUUAACAUGUUAUUGGAUAUUUUGGUUCUGUUGCAGAAAUCAAGCUGUCUCCUGGCAUCUCUUCUUUUGAUUAGGGCCUGCCAGAUCUCCCUUACGUUGAUGCAUUUGUUAAAAACUUAAUUAUUUAUUAAUUUCCUCUUCACUACCUUUAACUAUAUGCUUGGACUUUAAAAUGAUCAGUAAUGCUUUUUUUGUGUGUUGCCUUGCUUUUUUUUUGUUCUUUUGUAUCAACAUGGAAAGCCAUGGUAAUGGUACAGGACUCACCUCCAGAAAUCAAUGCUCCCAACCCAUUUACAUGUGUCUUUUUUUUUUUUCUGGAUGAUUUUUUCUGCUUUUCUAAAUUGAAGCUUCUAAAGCUGAAGACUCCAGGCCCUGUUUUUGCCUUAUUGACUCGCUGAAAUAUAGCAAAACUUUCCCACUUGCAGACCUGACUCAAUAAUCUAAUUAAUUCUUCUCAUUGCUGUGAGAAUGUUUACGAAAACUAGUAUAUUCUCAACUGUUGCAUUUAUACACCUGCUUCAUUUUUUCUUUUA